UGGCUCAUUAAAUCAGUUAUCGUUUAUUUGAUAGUACCUUACUACUUGGAUAACCGUGGUAAUUCUAGAGCUAAUACAUGCUAAAAACCCCGACUUCGGGAGGGGUGUAUUUAUUAGAUAAAAAACCAAUGCCCUUCGGGGCUCCUUGGUGAUUCAUGAUAACUUCUCAGAUCGCAUGGCUUUACGCCGGCGACGGUUCAUUCAAAUUUCUGCCCUAUCAACUUUCGAUGGUAAGGUAUUGGCUUACCAUGGUUUCAACGGGUAACGGGGAAUUAGGGUUCGAUUCCGGAGAGGGAGCCUGAGAAACGGCUACCACAUCCAAGGAAGGCAGCAGGCGCGCAAAUUACCCAAUUCCGAUACGGAGAGGUAGUGACAAUAAAUACUGAUACAGGGCUCUUUUGGGUCUUGUAAUUGGAAUGAGUACAAUUUAAACCUCUUAACGAGGAACAAUUGGAGGGCAAGUCUGGUGCCAGCAGCCGCGGUAAUUCCAGCUCCAAUAGCGUAUAUUAAAGUUGUUGCAGUUAAAAAGCUCGUAGUUGAACCUUUGGCCUGGCUGGCAGGUCCGCCUCACCGCGUGCACUUGACCGGCCGGGCCUUUUCUUCUGGAGAACCGCAUGCCCUUCACUGGGUGUGUUGGGGACCAGGACUUUUACUUUGAAAAAAUUAGAGUGUUCAAAGCAGGCCUUUGCUCGAAUACGUUAGCAUGGAAUAAUAGAAUAGGACGUGCGGUCCUAUUUUGUUGGUUUCUAGGACCGCCGUAAUGAUUAAUAGGGACAGUCGGGGGCAUCAGUAUUCAAUUGUCAGAGGUGAAAUUCUUGGAUUUAUUGAAGACUAACUACUGCGAAAGCAUUUGCCAAGGAUGUUUUCAUUAAUCAGUGAACGAAAGUUAGGGGAUCGAAGACGAUCAGAUACCGUCGUAGUCUUAACCAUAAACUAUGCCGACUAGGGAUCGGGCGGUGUUUCUAUUGUGACCCGCUCGGCACCUUACG
rnacentral:rRNA from 1 species